rnacentral:rRNA from 1 species
CCUACGGGUGGCAGCAGUGGGGAAUAUUGGACAAUGGGGGGAACCCUGAUCCAGCCAUGCCGCGUGUGUGAAGAAGGCCCUCGGGUUGUAAAGCACUUUCAGUGAGGAAGAACGCCUGGUGGUUAAUACCCAUCAGGAAAGACAUCACUCACAGAAGAAGCACCGGCUAACUCCGUGCCAGCAGCCGCGGUAAUACGGAGGGUGCGAGCGUUAAUCGGAAUUACUGGGCGUAAAGCGCGCGUAGGUGGCUUGAUAAGCCGGUUGUGAAAGCCCCGGGCUCAACCUGGGAACGGCAUCCGGAACUGUCAAGCUAGAGUGCAGGAGAGGAAGGUAGAAUUCCCGGUGGAGCGGUGAAAUGCGUAGAGAUCGGGAGGAAUACCAGGGGCGAAGGCGGCCUUCUGGACUGACACUGACACUGAGGUGCGAAAGCGUGGGUAGCAAACAGGAUUAGAUACCCCGGGUAGUC